AUUGAACGCUGGCGGCAGGCCUAACACAUGCAAGUCGAGCGAGCGGCGGACGGGUGAGUAAUGUAUGGGGACUGCCCGAUAGAGGGGGAUAACUACUGGAAACGGUAGCUAAUACCGCAUACUAUCGGAUAACCCAUAUGGUUUUGUCUAGUAGGUUAGGUAAUGGCUCACCUAGGCGACGAUCCCUUGCUGGUCUGAGAGGAUGAUCAGCCACACUGGGACUGCGACACGGCCCAGACUCCUACGGAGGCAGCAGUGGGGAAUAGUGCACAAUGGGCGAAAGCCUGAUGCAGCAAUGCCGCGUGUAUGAAGAAGGCCCUAGGGUUGUAAAGUACUUUCAGUCGGGAGGCGGGAGGGAAAGAAGAAGCACCGGCUAACUCCGUGCCAGCAGCCGCGGUAAUUG
rnacentral:rRNA from 1 species